rnacentral:rRNA from 1 species
CCCGUGGCGGCAGGCUACACCUGCAGUCGAACGGAUCUUCGGGAUUAGUGGCGGACGGGUGAGUAACGCGUGGGAACAUACCCAAAGGUACGGAAUAGCCUCGGGAAACUGAGAGUAAUACCGUAUGUGCCCUUCGGGGGAAAGAUUUAUCGCCUUUGGAUUGGCCCGCGUUGGAUUAGGUAGUUGGUGGGGUAAUGGCCUACCAAGCCGACGAUCCAUAGCUGGUUUGAGAGGAUGAUCAGCCACACUGGGACUGAGACACGGCCCAGACUCCUACGGGAGGCAGCAGUGGGGAAUCUUAGACAAUGGGGGAAACCACUGAUCUAGCCAUGCCGCGUGAUCGAUGAAGGCCUUAGGGUUGUAAAGAUCUUUCAGUUGGGAAGAUAAUGACGGUACCAACAGAAGAAGCCCCGGCUAACUCCGUGCCAGCAGCCGCGGUAAUACGGAGGGGGCUAGCGUUAUUCGGAAUUACUGGGCGUAAAGCGCACGUAGGCGGAUUAGAAAGUCAGAGGUGAAAUCCCAGGGGCUCAACCUUGGAACUUGCCUUUGAAACUCCUAGUCUUGAGGUCGAGAGAGGUGAGUGGAAUUCCGAGUGUAGAGGUGAAAUUCGUAGAUAUUCGGAGGUACACCAGUGGCGAAGGCGGCUCACUGGCUCGAUACUGACGCUGAGGUGCG